GCGAGACGCUACGGCGUCGAAGCAGUCUAUGUCAUACUUCCAAGAAAAGCUCGCAAUGUCAUAAACAAAUAAUGCCUGUACCAUAACCGACACAGGUGGGUAGGUAGAGUAUACUAAGGGGCGCGAGAUAACUCUCUCUAAGGAACUCGGCAAAAUGACUCCGUAACUUCGGGAGAAGGAGUGCCUUAUUUAUAAGGUUGCAAUAACAAGAUCCAAGCAACUGUUUAUCAAAAACACAGGUCUCCGCUAAGUCGUAAGACGAUGUAUGGGGGCUGACGCCUGCCCAGUGCCAGAAGGUUAAAGAAGUUGGUUAGCAUUCGCGAAGCUGAUAACUGAAGCCCUGGUGAACGGCGGCCGUAACGAUAACGGUCCUAAGGUAGCGAAAUUCCUUGUCGGGUAAGUUCCGACCCGCACGAAAGGCGUAAUGAUUUGGAUACUGUCUCGGAGAGGGGCUCGGUGAAAUAGACUUGUCUGUGAAGAUGCGGACUACCUGCACCUGGACAGAAAGACCCUAUGAAGCUUUACUGUAACUUGAAAUUGAAAUUGGACUUUAUUUGCGCAGCAUAGGUGGGAGGCGUAGAGAGUAUUCUUGCGGGAAUAUUGGAGCCAUCAGUGAGAUACCACUCUUGUAAUGUUAGAUUUCUAACUUUGUAUCAUUAUCUGGUCAAAGAACAGUUUCAGGCGGGCAGUUUGACUGGGGCGGUCGCCUCCCAAACGGUAACGGAGGCGUACAAAGGUUUCCUCUGAACGGGUAGAAAUCGUAUCUAGAGUGUAAAGGCAUAAGGAAGCUUGACUGUGAGACCUACAAGUCGAGCAGGGACGAAAGUCGGUCUUAGUGAUCUGACGGUGCUGAGUGGAAAGGCCGUCACUCAACGGAUAAAAGUUACUCUAGGAUAACAGGCUGAUCUCCCCCAAGAGUUCACAUCGACGGGGAGGUUUGGCACCUCGAUGUCGGCUCAUCGCAUCCUGGGGCGGUAGUACGUCCCAAGGGUUGGGCUGUUCGCCCAUGAAAGCGGUACGCGAGCUGGGUUCAGAACGUCGUGAGACAGUUCGGUCCAUAUCCGGUGUAGGCGUUAGAAUAUUGAGAGGAGCCUUCUUUAGUACGAGAGGACCGAGAAGGACAUACCUCUGGUGUACCAGUCAUCGUGCCAACGGUAAACGCUGGGUAGCUAUGUAUGGAGAGGAUAACCGCUGAAAGCAUCUAAGUGGGAAGCCCACCUCAAGAUAAG
rnacentral:rRNA from 1 species